CUUUGCGGCUGAUAUAAUCCUUACAUUCUUUGUGGCUUACUUGGAUGCAUCAACUUACCUCCUAGUUGAUGAUCAUAAGAAGAUUGCUAUCAGGUGCUUAAGACAAUUCCACAUACAACUCAUUGCUUAGCAAAAUGAAGUGCCCAGAAAAAGUAUGUAAUAUAUGUCUCCUAUUCUUUUUUGAAGAUUUGUAUUUGAUUUCAAUAGGUACGUCAAAAAGUUGCACUUUGCCAUGGAUCUAGCAUCAACUAUACCAAUUCAGCAGAUAUACCAAGUUCUGUCAGACAAAUCACACAAAACCGAGGUGUUCGGUUUCCUAAAUAUGCUUCGGCUCUGGCGAUUAAGGCGUGUCAGUGAACUCUUCACAAGGUACAUUACAUUCACAAUAGUGAAAUCAGAACAAAAGUAAUAACUGAAAAAUCAUAAUGCACCCAAAUAUAUCCCUCCCAUGUCGGGGUGUAAAUUAGAACAUAAGAAUAUAAGCCUGAAUUAGUUGAGUAUAGACUUGUAUUACAAAAUUAAUAAUAGUCUAAAUCUUAAAAGUAUCAACAACAAAAGGUAAGUAAUUUGAAUAUGUAAAAAUUCAAAGUUGCCAUCCAUGUUCAAUGUGUCAUAUUGUCAUACCUAAAACAAAGAUCAUGAUUCAUAUAGCUCAUGCUCAAAUAAAUUAUUUAUUUGGAAGGAAAAAAAGCAUUGAUCUAUUUCUAUUUCCAAUUUUGUCAGAAUCUGGAACUAUAUAAUUUUUUUUAGUCAACCAUGAUGUUGAAAACUUUAAAUCUAUAAAAGGAAUCGGAUGUUCAAAAUUCUACCAUGACAACUGAAACUGUCAACUCCUUUUCAGGCUAGAGAAAGACAUACGGAUUAGCUACUCAGCAACAAGAUUUUGUAAACUGAUAUGCGUAAGUAAAUCACUAAAUCUUCCCUUAAGAAAUGAUAACGAAAUUGGCUAAUGAAAGAUAAUUUCCUUGUUUCCAUUGCGUUGGUUUAUAGGUUACGCUAUUUGCAAUCCACUUCGCAGGCUGCAUGUAUUUUUGGUUAGCAGUCCAUCACAAAACACCCGAAAACACAUGGAUCGGGAUGCAAGUACAGGAUUUUAAACAUGAGAGCAAUUGGCACAGUUAUACCUAUUCCAUGUACUGGUCUAUUGUAACUCUUACGACUGUUGGAUAUGGAGAUUUACAUGCAGUAAAUACAACGGAGAAGGUUUUCAAUAUUUUAUAUAUGCUGUUUAACAUCGGCCUCACUGCAUAUAUAAUCGGAAACAUGACAAAUCUGGUGGUUCAUAGCACUGUCCGAACCUUUGCCAUGGUAAUUUCCCCCCUUCUUAAUGAGGAUUCCCUUGAAGGUUUAAUCUAUAAGAGAAGAUAAAUAAGCUUUAAAGCCUUAUGGGGAAAAGGGGGAGAAAUAAGCAAUGAAGUAAGCCCAUAAGAAGGGGAGACAAAAUGAGAUGUGCAUGCAUCUAGUUAUGUUUAGUAUUUACCCCCACCCUUUUUUUUGCAUUUCAUUGCUACAAAGAUUAUCAGAUGGGAUUUAAUUUUAAGGAAACUCUAAACAGCUUGCUUUCUUAACCGUGGCAAGCUUGGACAGGAAGUUAUUAGAAAAACGCCUAGAUAUGGAGGGAUAUACCCCUGUCAUAACAUGUUUAGAGCUAAACUUACCUGUGUGGAUAUACCAAAAACUAAUAUAUUUCCCCUCCUGGCUUCACAGAGGGAUGCCUUCAACAAAAUACUACAAUACGCAAGCAAGAAUAGACUCCCGGAAGGUUUGAAAGAGCAAAUGUUGGCACAUUUGCAAUUGAAGUUCAAGACAGCAGAGUUACAGCAAGAAGAAGUGCUACAGGACCUGCCUAAAGCAAUUAGAUCCAGUAUUGCUCAGCAUCUUUUCCACGACGUAGUUGAAAAAGCAUAUUUAUUUAAAGGAGUCUCUGAUGAUUUUAUCACCCAGCUGGUAAAAGCUUUUUCAUUUUCUUCCUCUUCUAGGUAGUAAUAGAAUAGAGUCUAAGCAUCUCAACAGCCUCUAAUAGGUGAUGGUAUCAUGACACUUAAUCUCACAGGUGUCCGAAAUGAAAGCAGAAUACUACCCACCUAAGGUUGACAUUAUCUUGCAAAAUGAGAUGCCAACAGAUUUCUACAUUUUGGUAUCUGGAUCAGUGGUAAAACAUCUAUAACUUACUCAAAUACUAUCCCUUAUCCCAUGUUAACUGCAGAACUGAACUAUUCUAACUGCAGGAUGUGUUGAUAUACAAGAAUGGAACCGAACAGGUAAGAUGGGAUCCCCCGGAUAACUUUUUGAAGGGUAAAAAUCACAUUCAAAGGAAAGUAAAAUGGUAACAGAUCAAACUCCUGGACAUAAGUGAGUUGGAAAGAGUAACAUUUAAACCAUAACAAAGUAUCAUGUGGAAGAAAGCAUUUUAAAAAGGAAAUAAUGAUAACAAAAAAACAAACCUCUCUUGGACAAAAACAGGGGGGGGGAACUUUAUUUGAUUUUGGACCUUGUGAGUUGUAGGCAAAGAAAGUAUCACAUAACUUGCACGACACCACACUGCAUCAAGUUGAGAUAGAAGUCACUUCGGAAGAUGAUGUUUACUUUACGGAAUGAAGAGUGAUUUUUUGAUGUCUUGAAGCAUUUUCUUGCUGAAGCAAACACAUCAAACCACGUUAAACAUCAAACAUAUAAAUCAGGCAACGAC
rnacentral:lncRNA from 1 species